rnacentral:rRNA from 1 species
AGAGUUUGAUCAUGGCUCAGAAUCAACGCUGGCGGCGUGCCUCAGACAUGCAAGUCGAACGAGAAAGUCCCCUUCGGGGGAUGAGUAAAGUGGCGCACGGGUGAGUAACACGUAGGUAAUCUACCUUCGGGUGGGGAAUAACCCAGGGAAACUUGGGCUAACACCGCAUAAUGCAGCGGCACCACAUGGUGACAGUUGUUAAAGCGGGGGAUUUUAGGACCUCGCGCCUGAAGAGGAGCCUGCGGCGGAUUAGCUAGUUGGUAGGGUAACGGCUUACCAAGGCGACGAUCCGUAACCGGCCUGAGAGGGCGGUCGGUCACACUGACACUGACAUGCGGGUCAGACUCCUACGGGAGGCAGCAGUCGGGAAUUUUGGGCAAUGGGCGAAAGCCUGACCCAGCAACGCCGCGUGAAGGAUGAAAUCCCUCGGGAUGUAAACUUCGCAAGAAUAGGAAGAAUUAGUAGGGGCUAAUACCCCCUAUGAUGACGGUACUAUUUGUAAGCUCCGGCUAACUCCGUGCCAGCAGCCGCGGUAAUACGGGGGGAGCAAGCGUUGUUCGGAUUUACUGGGCGUAAAGGGCGCGUAGGCGGUAGCACAAGUCAGUUGUGAAAUCUCCGGGCUUAACUCGGAAAGGUCAACUGAUACUGUGCGACUAGAGUGCAG